rnacentral:rRNA from 1 species
AUUGAACGCUGGCGGCAUGCUUUACACAUGCAAGUCGAACGGUAACAGGCCGCAAGGUGCUGACGAGUGGCGAACGGGUGAGUAAUGCAUCGGAACGUGCCCAGUCGUGGGGGAUAACUACUCGAAAGAGUAGCUAAUACCGCAUACGAUCUAUGGAUGAAAGCGGGGGACCGUAAGGCCUCGCGCGAUUGGAGCGGCCGAUGUCAGAUUAGGUAGUUGGUGGGGUAAAGGCUCACCAAGCCAACGAUCUGUAGCUGGUCUGAGAGGACGACCAGCCACACUGGGACUGAGACACGGCCCAGACUCCUACGGGAGGCAGCAGUGGGGAAUUUUGGACAAUGGGCGCAAGCCUGAUCCAGCAAUGCCGCAUGCAGGAAGAAGGCCUUCGGGUUGUAAACUGCUUUUGUACGGAACGAAACGGCUCUGGUUAAUACCCGGGGCUAAUGACGGUACCGUAAGAAUAAGCACCGGCUAACUACGUG